AGUGAACGCUGGCGGUAGGCCUAACACAUGCAAGUCGAACGGCAGCACAGUAAGAGCUUGCUCUUACGGGUGGCGAGUGGCGGACGGGUGAGGAAUACAUCGGAAUCUACUUUUUCGUGGGGGAUAACGUAGGGAAACUUACGCUAAUACAGCAUACGACCUACGGGUGAAAGCAGGGGAUCUUCGGACCUUGCGCGAUUGAAUGAGCCGAUGUCGGAUUAGAUAGUUGGCGGGGUAAAGGCACACCAAGGCGACGAUCCGUAGCUGGUCUGAGAGGAUGAUCAGCCACACUGGAACUGAGACACGGUCCAGACUCCUACGGGAGGCAGCAGUGGGGAAUAUUGGACAAUGGGCGCAAGCCUGAUCCAGCCAUACCGCGUGGGUGAAGAAGGCCUUCGGGUUGUAAAGCCCUUUUGUUGGGAAAGAAAAGCAGCAGAUUAAUACCCCGCUGUUCUGACGGUACCCAAAGAAUAAGCACCGGCUAACUUCGUG
rnacentral:rRNA from 1 species